GAAGAUGUCUCUUCGUCCUCGCAGGAAACAAAGUCAGACUCAUUAAGAACAUGAAGUUCACCUCUGCCAUUUUCCUGAUUGCGGUACUGGCAGCGUUCCUCGCCAUGAUGACUGCAGCGGAGGAGAUAAGCGAGAAGACAAGUGGUGGAGACAUGGAUAGCCGCGGAUGCCCAGACGCCGACAAAUGUACCAAAAGCUGCCAAAAAGAUGGUUUAAGUAUAGGAAGAUGCAUCGAUCUUUUUAAUUUGUGCGCGUGCUACUUCGAAUAAUUGAAGUCCUUAAUUGGCUGGCAAUAAACUUUGGGUA
rnacentral:lncRNA from 1 species